UAAUAAGUGUUUUAUGGCACUUUUCAAAUCCAUAUCCACCUUGUGUGCAAUGUCAGUCGAUCUUCUUCAUGGAGAUCGACCAAACAUCAACCUUUAUUUUUUAACUCUUUGUCUGAAAAAUAUUAUGAAUAAACAAUUCAAAAUA
rnacentral:misc_RNA from 1 species